AGUUCGGCUUUUAUACAUCUUUCCUAUUGCUAGUGCUGUCAUUUCUCUUUAAAUGUUUGCAGGUACUUGAUGGCAUGACAAUGGCGGUAGAGCAGAGGCAAGUGGAGCACAGCGUUUAGGGCGGUGGCAAGUAAGGUACUAGGGUUUCAAUCUCUGAAACUCUGUCUCACGUGGGCUUGACUUAUUGGGCCAGGGUGCUGGGUUAAUUUUGUAAAUGGGUUAGG
rnacentral:lncRNA from 1 species